rnacentral:tRNA from 1 species
GUGUAGCUCAGUGGUAGAGCUAGUGCUUCAUAUGCAUAAGACCCUGGAUUCAAUCCCCAGCAC